rnacentral:rRNA from 1 species
AUUGAACGCUGGCGGCAGGCCUAACACAUGCAAGUCGAACGAGUGGCGGACGGGUGAGUAAUGUCUGGGAAACUGCCUGAUGGAGGGGGAUAACUACUGGAAACGGUAGCUAAUACCGCAUACCAUCGGAUGUGCCCAGAUGGGAUUAGCUAGUAGGUGGGGUAAACGCUCACCUAGGCGAAGAUCCCUAGCUGGUCUGAGAGGAUUACCCGCCACACUGUAACUGAGACACGGGCCAGACUCGUACGGGAGGCAGCAGUGGGGAAGAUUGCACAAUGGGCGAAAGCCUGAUGCAGCCAUGCCGCGUGUAUGAAGAAGGCCUUCGGGUUGUAAAGUACUGUCAGCGGGGAGGCGUUACCCGCAGAAGAAGCACCGGCUAAAUACGUGCCAGCCGCCGCGGUAAUUC